AAGCAGUGACUCUGAAAAAGAUUUGGGGGUUGUGUAUGCUAGCUCAGUGGUUCCCAAACUGAGGUUCGUGAACCCCUAGGGGUUCACGAAAUGUUACAGGGAGUUCUCGGGAAAAAAUUCCCUAAGGGCAGACAGAGCUGUCCAUAGGGACCCCGGGCAGCCCGGGGCCAGCAGCCCGGAGCCUUGAGCUCUUCCAAGAGCUAAU